GUGCCAGCCGCCGCGGUAAUACGGGGGGGGCAAGCGUUGUUCGGAAUUACUGGGCGUAAAGGGCCAGUAGGCGGCCGGCUAAGUCCGACGUGAAAUCCCCAGGCUUAACCUGGGAACUGCGUCGGAUACUGGCUGGCUUGAAUUCGGGAGAGGGAUGCAGAAUUCCAGGUGUAGCGGUGAAAUGCGUAGAUAUCUGGAGGAAUACCGGUGGCGAAGGCGGCAUCCUGGACCGACAUUGACGCUGAACGGCGAAAGCUAGGGGAGCAAACGGGAUUAGAUACCCUCGUAGUCC
rnacentral:rRNA from 1 species